rnacentral:tRNA from 1 species
ACCCUGCUGGCUUAGUCAGUAGAGUGUGCGACUCUUGAUUUCAUGAGUUGUGAGUUUGAGCCCCACGUGGGGUG